ACUGUGUGUUGUUGGGUAGGGGAGCGUUCUGUAAGCCUGCGAAGGUGGCCUGUGAGGGUUGCUGGAGGUAUCAGAAGUGCGAAUGCUGACAUAAGUAACGAUAAAGCGGGUGAAAAGCCCGCUCGCCGGAAGACCAAGGGUUCCUGUCCAACGUUAAUCGGGGCAGGGUGAGUCGACCCCUAAGGCGAGGCCGAAAGGCGUAGUCGAUGGGAAACGGGUUAAUAUUCCCGUACUUGGUGUUACUGCGAAGGGGGGACGGAGAAGGCUAUGUUGGCCGGGCGACGGUUGUCCCGGUUUAAGCGUGUAGGUGUGUGUUCCAGGUAAAUCCGGUUCACUUUAACACUGAGGCGUGACGACGAGGCACUACGGUGCUGAAGCAACAAAUGCCCUGCUUCCAGGAAAAGCCUCUAAGCAUCAGGUAACAUCAAAUCGUACCCCAAACCGACACAGGUGGUCAGGUAGAGAAUACCAAGGCGCUUGAGAGAACUCGGGUGAAGGAACUAGGCAAAAUGGUGCCGUAACUUCGGGAGAAGGCACGCUGACACGUAGGUGAAGUGAUUUACUCAUGGAGCUGAAGUCAGUCGAAGAUACCAGCUGGCUGCAACUGUUUAUUAAAAACACAGCACUGUGCAAACACGAAAGUGGACGUAUACGGUGUGACGCCUGCCCGGUGCCGGAAGGUUAAUUGAUGGGGUCAGCGCAAGCGAAGCUCCUGAUCGAAGCCCCGGUAAACGGCGGCCGUAACUAUAACGGUCCUAAGGUAGCGAAAUUCCUUGUCGGGUAAGUUCCGACCUGCACGAAUGGCGUAAUGAUGGCCAGGCUGUCUCCACCCGAGACUCAGUGAAAUUGAACUCGCUGUGAAGAUGCAGUGUACCCGCGGCAAGACGGAAAGACCCCGUGAACCUUUACUAUAGCUUGACACUGAACAUUGAGCCUUGAUGUGUAGGAUAGGUGGGAGGCUUUGAAGCGUGGACGCCAGUCUGCGUGGAGCCGACCUUGAAAUACCACCCUUUAAUGUUUGAUGUUCUAACGUGGACCCGUAAUCCGGGUUGCGGACAGUGUCUGGUGGGUAGUUUGACUGGGGCGGUCUCCUCCUAAAGAGUAACGGAGGAGCACGAAGGUUGGCUAAUCCUGGUCGGACAUCAGGAGGUUAGUGCAAUGGCAUAAGCCAGCUUGACUGCGAGCGUGACGGCGCGAGCAGGUGCGAAAGCAGGUCAUAGUGAUCCGGUGGUUCUGAAUGGAAGGGCCAUCGCUCAACGGAUAAAAGGUACUCCGGGGAUAACAGGCUGAUACCGCCCAAGAGUUCAUAUCGACGGCGGUGUUUGGCACCUCGAUGUCGGCUCAUCACAUCCUGGGGCUGAAGUAGGUCCCAAGGGUAUGGCUGUUCGCCAUUUAAAGUGGUACGCGAGCUGGGUUUAGAACGUCGUGAGACAGUUCGGUCCCUAUCUGCCGUGGGCGCUGGAGAACUGAGGGGGGCUGCUCCUAGUACGAGAGGACCGGAGUGGACGCAUCACUGGUGUUCGGGUUGUCAUGCCAAUGGCACUGCCCGGUAGCUAAAUGCGGAAGAGAUAAGUGCUGAAAGCAUCUAAGCACGAAACUUGCCCCGA
rnacentral:rRNA from 1 species